UACGGGGGGAGCAAGCGUUGUUCGGAUUUACUGGGCGUAAAGGGCGCGUAGGCGGCGCAACAAGUCACUUGUGAAAUCUCCGGGCUUAACCCGGAGCGGCCAAGUGAUACUGUCGUGCUAGAGUGCGGAAGGGGCUACUGGAAUUCUCGGUGUAGCGGUGAAAUGCGUAGAUAUCGAGAGGAACACCUGCGGCGAAGGCGGGUUGCUGGGCCGACACUGACGCUGAGGCGCGAAAGCCAGGGGAGCGAACGGG
rnacentral:rRNA from 1 species